UGUUAUGGUUAUUGGUUGUCUAGUUUUGCCAAGAGGAUCUCAUAGUGCUUGCUUGUUUGGGCGAAUUGAGUCAGUAGUAGUCCUACUGGAGCAGCUCAAGUCCUCUGAUUUUAUUGAUCAACAAGAAUACGAUGCCUGCAAAAUGAAAUAAAGGAGCUUUUCUGGAAGGUGAUGCUGCUGUUGCCGUCGCUGAGGAGGUGAAGAAGAACAACCAUGUAGUAAGAAAGUUGGAGAGAAGAAGAACAACCAUGUAGUAAGAAAGUUGGAGAAGUGUCAACAGAUUUGCACCCUUGACCAACAUUUGGAAGAGCAAUUUGGUGGUGGUCGUCUAUUGGCUUGUAUCUCAUCACGACCUGGACAGUGGCUGUGCUGAUGGGAUGGGAAAACAUUGGACAAUGAGUUGGAGGUUGUUGAGGGAAUGAAGCUAGACAGGGGCUACAUAUCCCCUUAUUUCAUUACCAACCAGAACAAUCAGAAAUGUGAAUUGGAAAAUCCUCUAAUCAUAAUCCAUGAGAAGAAAAUCUCAAGUAUUAAUGAUGUGGUUAAAGUAUUGGAGUUGGUUUUGCAGUUAUGAUUUCAGAUCUGUAGAUAACCUGUUGUUGCUGAUAUUGCUACACGGGAGGAGAACAGAACAAGUUGGAAAAUGUGCAAGAAGGGAGAGCUAACUCAUACAACGAAGAACAAAUUGAUGAAGUUAAGAUCAAAUUAGUAGAAUUUGUGAGCUCUCCAUUAUUUAUAAUUAUAGGUAGGAAGUAUGUAUGUAAUAGAGCAAAGAUUGGUUGACUAUGUAAUAACAAUUGAAUUGUCAAGUUUUAUGAAAGAAAUAAUUUUUGCUUA